rnacentral:rRNA from 1 species
UACGGGGGGGGGUAAGCGUUGUCCGGAAUUAUUGGGCGUAAAGAGCUCGUAGGCGGUUUGUUGCGUCGGCUGUGAAAUCCCGAGGCUCAACCUCGGGUCUGCAGUCGAUACGAGCAAACUAGAGUGUUGCAGGGGAGACUGGAAUUCCUGGUGUAGCGGUGGAAUGCGCAGAUAUCAGGAGGAACACCGGUGGCGAAGGCGGCCUGCUGGGCAGUAGCUGACGGCUGAAGCGCGGACAGCGUGGGGAGCAAACAGG